rnacentral:rRNA from 1 species
UACGGAGGAUGCAAGCGUUAUCCGGAUUUAUUGGGUUUAAAGGGUGCGCAGGUUGUUUGAUAAGUCAGUGGUGAAAGUCUGUCGCUUAACGGUAGGAUUGCCAUUGAUACUGUUGGACUUGAAUAUGGAUGAGGUAGGCGGAAUGUGUAGUGUAGCGGUGAAAUGCAUAGAUAUUACACAGAACACCGAUUGCGAAGGCAGCUUACUAAUCCAUCAUUGACGCUGAGGCACGAAAGCGUGGGUAGCGAACA